AUUGAACGCUGGCGGAAUGCUUUACACAUGCAAGUCGAACGGCAGCACGGACUUCGGUCUGGUGGCGAGUGGCGAACGGGUGAGUAAUGUAUCGGAACGUGCCCAGUCGUGGGGGAUAACGUAGUGAAAAUUACGCUAAUACCGCAUACGACCUAUGGAUGAAAGCGGGGGAUCGCAAGACCUCGCGCGAUUGGAGCGGCCGAUAUCAGAUUAGGUAGUUGGUGGGGGAAAGGCCCACCAAGCCAACGAUCUGUAGCUGGUCUGAGGGGACGACCAGCCACACUGGAACUGAGACACGGUCCAGACUCCUACGGGAGGCAGCAGUGGGGAAUUUUGGACAAUGGGCGAAAGCCUGAUCCAGCCAUUCCGCGUGCAGGAUGAAGGCCCUCGGGUUGUAAACUGCUUUUGUACAGAACGAAAAGGUUUCUACUAAUACUAGGAGCUCAUGACGGUACUGUAAGAAUAAGCACCGGCUAACUACGUGCCAGCCGCCGCCGUAA
rnacentral:rRNA from 1 species